AGAUAGAAACUGACCUGGCUCACGCCGG
rnacentral:rRNA from 1 species